UUUGCAUGAAUGCAAUCAUUUACCCCUCUGACUUUCUACUGCUUAACCAAUUUCAGAUCUCUACUACGAGAAAAGGGCAUUAGGGUUUUGCCUCGUCUCCGCCUCCGCUGCAAACCCUAGCUGGUGAAUCGUUCUGCAUGGAGCACGGCACCGACGGCGAGCGGGCCAGCUUUCAAGGCAACGAGGUGAUCUCGGCCGUUCAGGAUGAGGAGCAAUUUUAUGGCGAAGACGAUGAUUAUGAUGACCUAUAUAACGACGUCAACGUUGGCGAUGGCUUCUACCAGCCCUCCGUCCCCCGCAACGAUGACUAUGCUGGUAAUUUCUCAAAGGAAUCGGAGAACAAGAGAGAUCCGUCUCCGCAGCCGCCUCCCGCUCUCCCUCCACCGCCAUCACGAGUCCCUCCUGCAAAAGUCACUGUGCCGAUUAUCACCGGAGAACCAGAGGUAGAGAGGCCUUUCAACAGAUCUGGAUCUUUUCAGGAUGGAAUUGGCGGUUUCGGCAUGACGGCGAGGCAUUUGGCAUCGUCUGGUGAGGUUAGGGUUGAUCCAGGGCAGUCUUCGGGUAGGCCUGGCGAGAUUCAGGGACUUCCUAGCGGAAAUACCUUUGGGAACAAUGGAUUUCAGAAGCCGGGAAGUGGUUUUGAAAACGAAGGUUACCCUAGGCUAGGAGUUGCAAGUGGUGUCGUCAGUGUAAAUAAUCCCAUCCCUGUUGUCUCUGCAGGAGGCGCAGGAGUUGCAGGAGCUGGAACUUCAGCUGUUGUAGGUGGGAAUAUGAAUGGUGGUGGAGGAGGUGGAACCACCACUCUUUUCGUUGGAGAUCUUCACUGGUGGACAACUGAUGCUGAUCUUGAAGCUGAGCUUUGCAAGUAUGGAGCUGUAAGAGAAGUGAGGUUCUUUGAUGAGAAGGCUAGCGGGAAAUCGAAAGGAUAUGCUCAGGUUGACUUUUACGAUCCAGCAGCUACCGCUGCUUGCAAGGAGGGUAUGAAUGGCCAUUUAUUUAACGAAAAACCUUGUGUUGUGGCCUUUUCUUCACCACAUGGUAUUAGACGACUUGGAGAGGGUCAGAUGGGUAGAAACCAACAAAACAUACCCCAGGCCCAACCACAGUCUGCGCUUGUGCAAAAGGGUAGAGGAGGAGGUGGAGGAGGAGGAGGUCAUAUUGGAGGGAAUUAUGGAAGAGGGGGUGGAGGUAAUUGGGGAAGAGGUGGGAUGGGAAAUAGAGGGCCAAUGGUGAAUAUGAGGAACCGCGUUGGGCCAGUUGGUGGUAGAGGUAUUAUGGGAAAUGGUGGGAUGGUAGCACCACCACCUGCAGUGUUACACCCAGGUGCCAUGCUGGGACAUGGAUUUGAUCCAACUGGUUAUGGAGCCUCAAUGGGUAGAAUGGCUGUGGGGUUUGGAGGGUUUCCUGGGCCUGGUGCUGGUGCAUUCCCGGGAAUGUUGCCUUCGUUUCCCCCAGUAGUGGCACCUCAUGUUAAUCCAGCUUUCUUUGGAAGGGGGAUGGCCACAAGUAGCAUGGGAAUGUGGCCUGAUCCUAAUAUGGGCGGUUGGGGUGUAGAUGAACAGUCUAGUUAUGGUGAUGAUGCUAUUUCAGAUCAGCAAUAUGGGGAUGGAAACCAUGGAAAGGAUAGAGGUGCUAAUCGUGAUUGGUCAGGGCCUUCAGAGAGAAGGCAAAUGACAGAUAAAGACAUGGGACCUGGGUCAGAGUGGUCUGAGAGGAGACAUACUGAGGAAAGGGAUAUGGCUCGGAUGAGGGAUCGAGAUUUGGAUAGGGAUAGACAGAGAGAAAGGGAGAAGGAGAGGGAAAGGGAUCGUGAGAGAGAACGAGAAAGAGAGAGGGAUAGGGAGAGAGAAAGAGAACGAGACAGGUAUCAUGAUGAUAGAGACAGACAUGUGGAACAUUACAGGCAUAGAGAACAUGAAUUAGAGCGGGAUGAUGAGUGGGAUAGAGGACGAUCUAAGGUUCGUAGCAACUCUCGAGAGGUUGAGAAUGCGAAGAGACGUCGACCAUCUGAAUGAGCGGGGCCCUAGCAGUUUUCCUUGGCAUAAGAUGCUGCUACUGAGGUUUGCCCUUGACAUGCUUGUGGUUUAACACUCAUUGCAUAUUUUUGUCGAGGAUUUUUGCAAGGGCUUGACUUAUAUGCUAAUUGGAAGCCUACAUUUGCGGUGGGAUUGCAGGUUUUACUUCCUUCAAGGAUGCUGUUUCUCUGAUUUGCUUAUGAUUGAACAAAGGAUUUCGCACGUUUAUCCAUGCAGUUUAUUAUAUGCACCUGACUUAUAAAAAGCUUUGUUACUGUACCAAUUACUUGUUUUAGUAGACUGCGUUGUGUAGGCUAUUUUAGAAAAGGGGAUUAGCCUCAUGAUAUAAUGAUGUUAAUCUCAUUAUUUAUUUAAGAACCGUGAAAUAUGCAACAUCUCCAGGAUUGUUGGAUUUCGACCAUGCAGCAGGAUCAUCGAGCAGUUGCUGAAGCUUUCUCUAUAUUGAUGGCUGGAUGGGUUUCUUUUGUAAUUUUGUGUAGAUUAGAUCUUUUGUAUCUGUAGUUUUGCCUGAUCCUUUUGUUGUUGCUGCUGCUGCUCCUGUUGUUGUUUUUUUUUUUUUCUCUUUGAUGCUACCUUUUUAUGUUUUCUGCUUUUAACAAAACUGUAAAUAGACUCAGGUGUAGCGUUACAGUGUACAUAUGCUGGAGCCAAGCAGCUUUAGCUCUUUGAGUGUAAAUUUUACCGAAGUAAAAUAAAUGCAUGAAAAGUAUUACUUUUUUGAAGGUA